CGUCGGUCAGGAGCCGGGCGACGGUCUCCCGGUCGCUGUCGGCGGCCGGGUCGAGGACGACCCGUUCGACGCGGGCGCCGCGGGC
rnacentral:tRNA from 1 species